GCCGCUAGGGAGGAGAGAAAAAAUGACAUUCCGAAGCUGUUAGAGUUCUUUAGAGAGAUGAAGUCCCAAAAUCCUUAUUUCUACUAUGAGGUGCAGUUGGAUGAAGAUCACGUGAUAAAGAAUGUCUUUUGAAGUCAUGCAAGCCAACGUGCAGAAUAUAUGGAUUUUGGAGAUGUGGUAACUUUUGACACCACGUAUCGGACUAAUAUCUACUGCAUGCCGCUUGCAAUGUUUGUUGGCUCGAAUCACCAACUACAAAAUGUUAUUUUUGGACAAGCACUAUUGCAGAACGAGAAAACUGACACCUUCGGGUGGUUGUUCAAGGCAUUCAAAGAUUGCAUGUCAACUGGACCUGAGCUAAAAUGCAUCCUUACCGAUUAGGAUAGCUCUAUGGCAGCAGCUAUACCAAAGGUUUUUCUGAAGACUGUGCACCGGCUAUGCCGUUGGCACAUGCUGAAAAAAUACAAGGAGGAGCUACGGAAAUUGUACAAGGCCCAUGCUGAUUUGAAAGAUAAGCUCCAUACUGUGAUUAACCAUCCACUAACACCUUUAGAGUUUGAGGCUGCCUGGAUUGAGUUGAUUGAUGAGCAUGCCAUACGUUGUGGGUGCCAGCUUAUUUCAAAAAUUACUAUUGUGGACGGAUGAUAUCGACAUAGAGAAGCGAAAGCGUUAAUAACAUGGUGAAAAGUAGCGGAUUUGCGAGCCAUAUGACGAGUGUAAAUAAAUUUGCACGAAAAUUGUUGGAGGUCAUUCGGCACACCAAUCAUACGACAGCAAGAGAAACCCAUUGGU